rnacentral:rRNA from 1 species
AACUAACGCUAGCGGCGUGCCUAACACAUGCAAGUCGUACGAGAAAGUUGGCUUCGGCCGAUGAGUAAAGUGGCGCACGGGUGAGUAACGCGUGGAUAAUCUACCCUUUAGUCUGGAAUAACCCAUCGAAAGGUGAGCUAAUACCGGAUAAUACUGCAUAACUACUGUUGUGUAGUCAAAGAUGGCCUCUGCUUGCAAGCUUUCACUGAAGGAUGAGUCCGCGUACCAUUAGCUAGUUGGUAGGGUAAUGGCCUACCAAGGCGACGAUGGUUAGCUGGUCUGAGAGGAUGAUCAGCCACACUGGAACUGAGACACGGUCCAGACUCCUACGGGAGGCUG